AGAGUUUGAUCCUGGCUCAGGAUGAACGCCAGCGGCAGGCUUAACACAUGCAAGUCGAGGGGUAACAGGGAAGCUUGCUUCCGCUGACGACCGGCGCACGGGUGCGUAACGCGUAUGCAACCUACCUCAUACUGGAGAAUAGCCCUUGGAAACGAGGAUUAAUGCUCCAUAGUAUCACAGAUUCGCAUGUUUCUGUGAUUAAAGAAUUUCGGUAUGAGAUGGGCAUGCGUCCCAUUAGCUUGUUGGUGAGGUAACGGCUCACCAAGGCAACGAUGGGUAGGGGGCCUGAGAGGGUGACCCCCCACACUGGUACUGAGACACGGACCAGACUCCUACGGGAGGCAGCAGUGAGGAAUAUUGGGCAAUGGAGGCAACUCUGACCCAGCCAUGCCGCGUGAAGGAUGACUGCCCUAUGGGUUGUAAACUUCUUUUAUAUGGGAAGAAACUUAUCUACGUGUAGAUAACUGACGGUACCAUACGAAUAAGGAUCGGCUAACUCCGUGCCAGCAGCCGCGGUAAUACGGAGGAUCCAAGCGUUAUCCGGAUUCAUUGGGUUUAAAGGGUCCGUAGGCGGGUCUUUAAGUCAGUGGUGAAAGCCGACAGCUCAACUGUCGAACUGCCAUUGAUACUGGAGACCUUGAGUACAAAUGAAGUAGGCGGAAUGAGUCAUGUAGCGGUGAAAUGCAUAGAUAUGACUCAGAACACCGAUUGCGAAGGCAGCUUACUAACAUGUAACUGACGCUGAGGGACGAAAGCGUGGGGAGCGAACAGGAUUAGAUACCCUGGUAGUCCACGCCGUAAACGAUCAUCACUCGCUGUUGGCGAUAUACUGUCAGCGGCCAAGCGAAAGUAUUAAGUGAUGCACCUGGGGAGUACG
rnacentral:rRNA from 1 species